UCCUCUCCGUUUGUUAUGACU
ensembl:piRNA 21ur-3309 ncRNA